rnacentral:lncRNA from 1 species
GUUAUCAAAAUAUCUAAUGAACCCCAUAAAUAUAUACACCUAUUAUGUACCCACAAAAGUUAAAAAUAAAAAUCUUUUAAAUUAAAAUUACAAGAGAAAAAAGAAUUAGGGCCAGGCACAGUGGCUCACAGCUAUAAUACCAGCACUUUGGGAAGCUGAGGAGGAUCACUUUAGGCAGGAGCUCGAGACCAGCCUGGGCAACAUAACAAGACCCUAUCUCUACAAAAAAUAAAUAAAUAAAACAAAAAAGAAUUAAGCCCAGAUCUGGUACCAAAUUUACAACUGCCUCAUGUCAACAGACCUUAUGGAGAUUGUUUUUGUUUUCUCUGUUCCCUCAAAGGACUUUCAAUGAAGCCCCUAAAGAGUAUACAUUUGUUUAUCAUUUUAAAAGAGAAUCAACUCCUUAUUCAGUCAGUUCAUAGUCUUUAUAAAUAAUGUUGGGCAUUCAAAUAGGACAUCUUUCAAAAAAUUACAUUAUCUAAUUAGACAACUUUUCAAAGUAACCUAUAGUGUCUUUGAAAAUUCAAGCAUUUCCUCAAGAGUAGUGUAUAGAUUUCAAAAAUUUAAAAUAUUUGAAAAUAUGUAAAUAUUUUGAGAUAAUGUUAUACAGGUACAGCACCUGUACAACAUUAAAUAUUAUUUAAAAAUAAGGUAUUAGAGCAUUCUUAAUGAGCACGAUGAGAAAAACUGUGGAUAGACUUAGCAAAAUAAUACUGAAGGAAACCAAUUAGGCACAAUUAAAAUGCAUACAAUUCUGAAAUGGAUUAUUUUAAUAAAGUUCUCUGGUAGCUUUCAACAAAAGUUAUGGCAGAAAAGCAGGUAGUAGGGUCUGUAUCUACAUCAUCAACCACAUGAGAAAAGAAAUAAGGUUUAGAAUCAGACAGAUCUGGGUUCAACCCUAUGGCUCUUCCCGUUUUACUACCAUGCUGGGAAAGGAAAUACAUCUCUUUGGACCCUAGUUUCUCAAUCUGUAAAAUAGAGAAAGAAAUCUCACUUUACAGGGUCACUGUGCAAAGUAAGUGUGAUGGUAUGCGAAUAGUCCCUAACAUAUAAUAAGCACUCAGUUAAAGUUAAUUCUUUCCCCAUCCACCUUUACAUCCUUCUUAUGCAAUAGAAUACACAGAUACUAUCUGAGCUCCAACCACUGUACUACAAUCCCUGCUUACUUUUUGGAGUUUUUUUUUUUUUAUUAAAUAGGAAAGAGAGGGGACAUAUGGAAAAGUGAAUGUUGAUACAAUUUAGUGCUGUCAUCACUUAGAACUUUUAUUAUGUAGUCUUUACUGUACACUAUGGAAUCACAAAAUGAAUAGAAGAAUUAAUCUCUAUCUUCAAAGAAUUAAUAGACAUAGAGAGAUAGAGCAAAUGUCCAAAGAAUAUUUAUAUUUUCACUUUCUGUGUAUAUAAUUCCACAUCAUAUGUGCAUUUUAUUGACCAUCAGGAGUAAAUAUGUGUGUGGUUGUAUAUGUAUGUUUAUAUAUAUCCAGAGAGAGACUUUGUGGGGGGAAAACUGCAUGCUUUAUUAAAUGGUAUAUUCAACACACUUUUCUGUAUCUUAAUUUUCUCAUUUAACGGAACCUCAAAGAUGUACCUCCAACGCAACUGUUAUAGCCCUAA